rnacentral:rRNA from 1 species
GACGAACGCUGGCGGCGUGCUUAACACAUGCAAGUCGAACGGUAAGGCCCUUCGGGGUACACGAGUGGCGAACGGGUGAGUAACACGUGGGUGAUCUGCCCUGCACUUCGGGAUAAGCCUGGGAAACUGGGUCGAAUACCGGAUAGGACCACUGCCUGCAUGGGUGGUGGUGGAAAGCUUUUGCGGUGUGGGAUGGCCCGCGGCCUAUCAGCUUGUUGGUGGGGUGAUGGCCUACCAAGGCGACGACGGGUAGCCGGCCUGAGAGGGUGACCGGCCACACUGGGACUGAGAUACGGCCCAGACUCCUACGGGAGGCAGCAGUGGGGAAUAUUGCACAAUGGGCGCAAGCCUGAUGCAGCGACGCCGCGUGAGGGAUGACGGCCUUCGGGUUGUAAACCUCUUUCAGCACCGACGAAGUGCAAGUGACGGUAGGUGCAGAAGAAGGACCGGCCAACUACGUGCCAGCCGCCGCAGUAA